rnacentral:rRNA from 1 species
UACAGAGGUGCCAAGCGUUAGGCGGAAUCACUGGGCUUAAAGCGCGCGUAGGCGGAUGUUUAAGUGUCUUGUGAAAUCCCACGGCUCAACCGUGGAACUGCUGGGCAUACUGGACAUCUCGAGGCACUCAGGGGCGAGCGGAACAAGUGGUGGAGCGGUGAAAUGCGUAGAUAUCUGGAGGAAUACCGGUGGCGAAGGCGGCAUCCUGGACCGGCAUUGACGCUGAGGAGCGAAAGCUAGGGGAGCAGACGGG